GUACAGGAAUGUGUCAGCCAAUCUGGCAUCUAGGGCACACAUCUAACAAACUCUCACUUGACCUAAUGCCAAUUGGCUACAUAUCUAAGUCCCAUCUUCUCAAGGUGGGCUUCGAUCUUCUGCUAGCCUAAUGGCUUUAUCAGUGGGUCUGCCACAUUGUCUGUGGAGUUGACUCUCUUAACCUCAACAUAACCUUUUUCG
rnacentral:lncRNA from 1 species